rnacentral:misc_RNA from 1 species
AUUGCAUGACAUGCAACUGUUGCUUGGGAAUUAAGUUAGUGAAUCACAAGUGCCUGGAAAAAGGUUUAGAGACAAACUGCCCCAUCUGCUGUGAUUUUUUGUUCACUUCAAGUGCAAUAGUCAGGGCUUUGCCUUGUGGCCAUUACAUGCAUUCAGCUUGCUUUCAGGCAUACACUUGCAGUCACUACACCUGCCCAAUAUGCAGCAAAUCUUUAGGAGAUAUGGCGGGGUACUUUGGCAUGCUUGAUGCAUUGUUGGCUACAGAGGAGCUUCCGGAGGAAUAUAGGGACCAUUAUCAGGAUAUACUAUGCAAUGAUUGUGAUCGAAAGGGCACUGCACGCUUCCACUGGUUAUAUCAUAAAUGUGGAUUUUGUGGAUCUUACAAUACUCGGGUGAUUAAGAGUGAAUCAGCGAAACCCGACUCCUCUGCAUCACAUCAAUGAGAGGUUAGUCUGUACAUAGUUGUCAAUUCAAUCAAAUUUUCUGCCCAAAAGAAAAGCAGUUACUGGUCAUUACGUCUAUAUGUUCUGCUAAAAUGUGUCACUCCUGUAGAAGCUGUUGAAAAGAUUAUAUUCCCUUUGGUUUAGUUCCUUUAUA